ACAGAGGCGGCAAGCGUUGUUCGGAAUUAUUGGGCGUAAAGAGCAUGUAGGCGGCUAUGUAAGUCGGUUGUGAAAGCCUUCCGCUUAACGGAAGAAUGGCGGUCGAUACUGCCGUGCUAGAGUGCGGGAGAGGAAAGUGGAAUUCCUGGUGUAGCGGUGAAAUGCGUAGAUAUCAGGAGGAACACCGGUGGCGAAGGCGGCUUUCUGGCCCGUAACUGACACUGAGGCGCGAAAGCGUGGGGAGCGAACGG
rnacentral:rRNA from 1 species